GCUGGGCACAGUGACAGGUGCUUGUAGUCCCAGAUAGUCAGAAGGCUGAGGUGGGAGGGUCGCUUGAGCCCAGGAGUUCUGGGCUGUAGUGCGCUACACCAGUUACGUGUCCACACUAAGUUCAGCAUCAAUAUGGUGAUCUCCCUGGAGUGGGGGAACACGAGGUUGCCUAACGAGGGCUGAACAGUCCCAGUUUAGAAGCGGAGUAGGUCAAAACUCCCGUGCCGAUCAGCAGUGGGAUCACACCUGUGAAUAGGCACUGCACUCCAGCCUGGGCAACAGAGCGAGACCCUGUCUCU
rnacentral:SRP_RNA from 1 species